GACGAACGCUGGCGGCGUGCCUAAUACAUGCAAGUCGAGCGAAUCUUAAGGUGCUUGCACCUUUUGGUUAGCGGCGGACGGGUGAGUAACACGUGGGCAACCUGCCUGUAAGACUGGGAUAACUUCGGGAAACCGGAGCUAAUACCGGAUAAUCCUUUUCCUCUCAUGAGGAAAAGCUGAAAGUCGGUUUCGGCUGACACUUACAGAUGGGCCCGCGGCGCAUUAGCUAGUUGGUGAGGUAACGGCUCACCAAGGCGACGAUGCGUAGCCGACCUGAGAGGGUGAUCGGCCACACUGGGACUGAGACACGGCCCAGACUCCUACGGGAGGCAGCAGUAGGGAAUCUUCCGCAAUGGACGAAAGUCUGACGGAGCAACGCCGCGUGAGCGAUGAAGGCCUUCGGGUCGUAAAGCUCUGUUGUUAGGGAAGAACAAGUACCGGAGUAACUGCCGGUACCUUGACGGUACCUAACCAGAAAGCCACGGCUAACUACGUGCCAGCCGCCGCCGUAA
rnacentral:rRNA from 1 species